UGCUGUCCCCCGUCACUCCAAGCCGCUGCGGCCCCGUCCAAGCCAUGGAAUUGAUGGCCUCCCUCAACGCCGACCCUUCCCCCGUCGCUCCAAGCCGCCCGCUCCUCUCCUCAAUGACGCAACAGGCAACAGCUCCUCUUGACGGCGACGCCCAAAUCCCAUCGCCUCCAAUCCCGUCUACAGAUGGCCCACAGUUUGCCUCCUCCUUCCCUCCCAAGCCGUCUCCCGGUCCUUCACCUGCCCGUCCGGCCACCCCUCUGAACAUGCGAUUUUUCUGAUCCUGUACAGCUCCAUGGGCUGAGGGACUGCAGGAAGUUUGCGGUCGGCAGGGCUCUGGUCGCCUCGUCGGCGUUGCCCUCAAAUACUCCAAGGUGUUGUCCUGGCCACUGACUUCGAAGCAAUCUGUGCUCCGGUUGGAGGUGGCGGAGCACUGGUACCGGCUCUACAAGACGGACAAUCAAGGGGUACCACAAUCCGGCUCCACCUCGACGCCAUUCUGGCAACCACGAAAACCUCACGCUCCAAUCUAUGCCCUCCGCCUGUGCUCGCUGCAUCUCGUGCCACCGUCUCGGCCUCUCGAUCGUCAUGGCCUGAAUUAUUCUAAUUCUUCGUUACAAGUUUUUUUUUUUAAUGAUCUUGGCUACCAUUUUGGUGCUGAGACUAAUAUGACUCCCAUCAAACAAUGCAGUUGAGAGUGAGUUCUUACCUGCAUUAUAUAGUACAUUGUAUUUAAACCAUAGUACAUGGGGACAGUGGUGCGUUCAGUGCUAACACUCAAAUCAAUUUAUGGAUUGUGGUAAGCUGGUAGUUGUUUGAUUUGUCACUAAAAUUGCACGACGACAACACUUUGUGUUAGCUGGGCAACUAAAUCAGUCAGACUCCGGUGAGUUUCAGAGGCUCCAGGAGGUGGAAAGACAUCUUGGGUGAUGCAUGGAUGCAAGGAAAACUGGAGACUGGAAGAUUAAACUAAUGGAAACUAAUGGAACAGAUGCAACCAUUGCCAAUGGAGCAGACUCCUCUCAGUUAGUAAUAUCUCCUUCCAGCUUAUAUCUGUAUUGUCUGUAGGUAUUCUUGUUUUCUGCCCAGUGUUAAAUUCCAAUCAAAGAAAAUGGGAAUGAAUUUUUAUUUAAGCUUCUUUCCUA